GACAGAAUCACCAACAGAAGAUCCAAUGAGGUUGAAGGAAAACCCACAGCAUGCGGUCACAGAGGCCAGGAGAGGAAAUGUUUUCAAGAGAGGGGAGUCUAUUGCUGAAAGGUUGGAAAUGUGGAGGCCAGAGAAGGUUGUGGAUUUUUCAGCAGGAAGAUAUUUGAUGUCUUCACAGGAUCGUGUGAUGUGGUGAAACACCACAAGAAGAAUCCCAUCUAGGACUGAAGGGGCCCUUGGAGAUCAUUCUGCCUGUAUCCAUGAGGAGACCAGAUCUCUGAGCAGUGAGCUCUUAACUGACUGUGGAGAAGCCCUUCAGUUCUGGAGUCUAAUGUGUUCUGCAUGAGCUUCUGGAGCUAGAAAGAUCAUAGUGAACAUUAUGGACACUAACAGGAUGAUGGUGGGACAGACAGCCAGAAACUUGAAAGUGGGUCUAGAGGAUGACUGGUUUCCAUCUGCAAGAAAAGUUUUUCGUGGGAGAUGCGCCAUUAUGUUUGAAAAUACAAGAGGUGUUUAUGGAGAAAGAUGGAAGCUGCUUAUGAGACACAAGACAGGCCCUGUGGAAGUUUAGUCAUGAAGAAGAUAAAGAAGAUUUUCUGGAGGGAUCCUCUAGAAACAAACAACAAAACCCACAAAUUAUAAUGCAUCUGCACUUAGACUGCUAGGAACUUUGACUCGAUGGAGUGAAAGCUUAAGGCUUUGUUCUUUACCUGUGCUGCUUUCAAAAAAUGUGGACAGUGGGUCC
rnacentral:lncRNA from 10 species